UUUUGCAUAAUUUAAAAAGCGGAGGAAAAGAAACCAACAGGGAUUGCCUCAGUAACGGCGAGUGAAGCGGCAACAGCUCAAAUUUGAAAUCUGGCCUCUUUGGGGUCCGAGUUGUAAUUUGUAGAGGAUGUUUCGGGCACCGCUCCGGUUUAAAUUUCUUGGAACAGAAUGUCAAAGAGGGUGAGAACCCCGUCUUGGACCGGCAGUAGGGCCCAUGUGAAACUCCUUCGACGAGUCGAGUUGUUUGGGAAUGCAGCUCAAAAUGGGUGGUAAAUUUCAUCUAAAGCUAAAUAUUGGCCAGAGACCGAUAGCGCACAAGUAGAGUGAUCGAAAGAUGAAAAGCACUUUGAACAGAGAGUUAAACAGUACGUGAAAUUGUUGAAAGGGAAGCGCUUGCAACCAGACUUGCGCGCGGCGGUUCCCCCUUCCUUUUGGUUGGGUUAUUCCGCCGUGUCCAGGCCAACAUCGGUUCUGGGGGUCGGUUAAAGGCCUGGGGAAUGUAUCUACCCUUCGGGCGUAGACUUAUAGCCCCGGGUGUCAUGCGACCUCCCGGGACCGAGGAACGCGCUUCGGCUCGGAUGUUGGCGUAAUGGUUGUCAGCGACCCGUCUUGAACAACACGGACCAAA
rnacentral:rRNA from 1 species